rnacentral:rRNA from 1 species
GGCGGACGGGUGAGUAACGCGUGAGAAUCUGCCCAUAGGUUGGGGACAACCACUGGAAACGGUGGCUAAUACCGAAUAAGCCGAGAGGUGAAAGAUUAAUUGCCUAAGGAAGAGCUCGCGUCUGAUUAGCUAGUUGGUGGGGUAAAGGCCUACCAAGGCACCGAUCAGUAACUGGUCUGAGAGGAUGGCCAGUCACACUGGGACUGAGACACGGCCCAGACUCCUACGGGAGGCAGCAGUGGGGAAUUUUCCGCAAUGGGCGAAAGCCUGACGGAGCAAUACCGCGUGGGGGAGGAAGGCUCUUGGGUCGUAAACCUCUUUUCUCAGGGAAGAAUAAAAUGACGGUACCUGAGGAAUCAGCAUCGGCUAACUCCGUGCCAGCAGCCGCGGUAAUACGGAGGAUGCAAGCGUUAUCCGGAAUGAUUGGGCGUAAAGCGUCCGCAGGUGGCAGUACAAGUCUGCUGUCAAAGGUCAAGGCUCAACUUUGGACAGGCAGUGGAAACUGUACAGCUAGAGUGUGGUGGGGGCAGAGGGAAUUCCCAGUGUAACGGUGAAAUGCGUAGAGAUUGGGAAGAACACCAGUGGCGAAAGCGCUCUGCUAGGCCAUAACUGACACUCAGGGACGAAAGCUAGGGGAGCGAAUGGGAUUA